rnacentral:rRNA from 1 species
UGCAAGUCAAAGGGUCCUACGAAACCCCGAGGCGCAGUGAAAGUGAGGCUCGCGCUGUGUUCUUGUUCCUGCCCCGUCGUCGUGGGGCGGUGGACGCGGACGUGGAGCGACGAGGUGAGAUCCCGUUGUUAGGCACUCUUCCGCUGUGCCUGUGUGUACAGUCGAGGCCGGCGGGCGCAUCACCGGCCCGUCUCAUGGUGUGGUCAUCGACUUUGGUAAGGCCUCGGGCAUGCGWGUGCGUGCGUGCGUGCGUGUGUUCGGGUCUACACCGGUCGUUGCGUCACCGGGWCGGUGCAUGAGCAUACAUGUUGAGACCCGAAAGAUGGUGAACUAUGCUUGCGUAGGUUGAAGCCAGAGGAAACUCUGGUGGAGGACCGUAGCGAUUCUGACGUGCAAAUCGAUCGUCAAACGUGAGUAUAGGGGCGAAAGACUAAUCGAACCAUCUAGUAGCUGGUUCCCUCCGAAGUUUCCCUCAGGAUAGCUGGCAUUCAUUGGCAUAAUCAGUUUUAUCCGGUAAAGCGAAUGAUUAGAGGUGCUGGGUUCGAAACGAGCUCAACCUAUUCUCAAACUUUAAAUGGGUGAGAGGCUCGACUCGCCCCGCUAUGUUCUGWCCGUGUGGUCAGGCCUACAGGAGUCGGGCGUUGAAU